UACACUGCACGGAAGUGCGAUAGGGGAAUCCCAAGUGCGAGGGCAUAUUCGCCCUCGCUUUUGUUGACCGUAAGGUGGUCAACGAAUAAGAGCUGGGCAAGACCGGUGCCAGCCGCCGCGGUAAUACCGGCAGCUCGAGUGAUGUCCAAUAUUAUUGGGCCUAAAGCGUCCGUAGCUGGCCGCGCAAGUCCGUCGGGAAAUCCACCUGCCCAACAGGUGGGCGUCCGGCGGAAACUGCACAGCUUGGGACCGGAAGGCUCGAAGGGUACGUUCGGGGUAGGAGUGAAAUCCCAUAAUCCCGCACGGACCACCGAUGGCGAAAGCACUUCGAGAAAACGGACCCGACAGUGAGGGACGAAAGCCAGGGUCUCGAACCGGAUUAGAUACCCGGGUAGUCCUGGCCGUAAACGAUGUCUGCUAGGUGUGGCGCAGGCUACGAGCCUGCGCUGUGCCGCAGGGAAGCCGUGAAGCAGACCGCCUGGGAAGUACGUCCGCAAGGAUGAAACUCAAAUGA
rnacentral:rRNA from 1 species